GAUGAACGCUGGCGGCGUGCCUAAUACAUGCAAGUCGAGCGAACAGACGAGGAGCUUGCUCCUCUGACGUUAGCGGCGAACGGGUGAGUAACACGUGAGUAACCUGCCCUUGACUUUGGGAUAACUUCAGGAAACUGGGGCUAAUACCGGAUAGGAGCUCCUGCUGCAUGGUGGGGGUUGGAAAGUUUCGGCGGUUGGGGAUGGACUCGCGGCUUAUCAGCUUGUUGGUGGGGUAGUGGCUUACCAAGGCUUUGACGGGUAGCCGGCCUGAGAGGGUGACCGGCCACAUUGGGACUGAGAUACGGCCCAGACUCCUACGGGAGGCAGCAGUGGGGAAUAUUGCACAAUGGGCGGAAGCCUGAUGCAGCAACGCCGCGUGCGGGAUGACGGCCUUCGGGUUGUAAACCGCUUUCGCCUGUGACGAAGCGUGAGUGACGGUAAUGGGUAAAGAAGCACCGGCUAACUACGUG
rnacentral:rRNA from 1 species